rnacentral:rRNA from 1 species
GUGGGGAAUAUUGGACAAUGGGCGAAAGCCUGAUCCAGCCAUGCCGCGUGUGUGAAGAAGGUCUUCGGAUUGUAAAGCACUUUAAGUUGGGAGGAAGGGCAGUAAGUUAAUACCUUGCUGUUUUGACGUUACCGACAGAAUAAGCACCGGCUAACUUCGUGCCAGCAGCCGCGGUAAUACGAAGGGUGCAAGCGUUAAUCGGAAUUACUGGGCGUAAAGCGCGCGUAGGUGGUUUUGUAAGUUGGAGGUGAAAUCCCCGGGCUCAACCUGGGAACUGCCUCCAAAACUGCAUGACUAGAGUACGGUAGAGGGUAGUGGAAUUUCCUGUGUAGCGGUGAAAUGCGUAAAUAUAGGAAGGAACACCAGUGGCGAAGGCGACUACCUGGACUGAUACUGACACUGAGGUGCGAAAGCGUAGGGAGCAAACAGGAUUAGAUACCCGAGUAGUCC